UUUUUCAUAAAAAAUUCAAUGAAAAAUACGACACGUGUCAUCUGAUGCGAUCUCAUUCAGCCAAAUGUGCGUGAUAUUAUAUUAAAAUAAUUAAUUUCUUUUCCAAAAGAUUCAACGAUGCAAUAACAAUAUACAAAAUUAUUUUUGCUUUCAUUCCACAACGUUACUUUCUUAGCUGCGCGCGCAACUUGAUUCUCUUAUUUACAAUUGGUCAAGAAAUGUGCCGCCGACAACGGUCCUAGUUCCUUGGACAUACCGAUUCGAAAGCCGGACAUUCUCAAUGAAAUUAAGUUUAAUAAAGUGAUCAACUGGGGCCAACCCGACGUAUGCCGAAGAACGUGUAUCGCGGGCCAAAUAUGCACGUCACAAUGUAAAACAGAUUCAGAAACGUAAAUCGACAAUGCGCGCAUGCGCCACGCGUGCGAAGGAAAGUAGGAAAAUUUAUGUCAGAACUAGAAGCGUGAAUUUAACAAUAAUUAUCAACGAUUCUUCUUUCAGUUGUCGAACAGUUGUAAAUGAUUAACGGAGAUAAUCGAGAUUAAUCGUGAGUGCUAGACAAACGAGUUAUAUGUAUCUCUAUAGGUUAUGAUCUUAUAAAACAUAAAAAAAAAAUUUGUAUUAAGUCUACAAUUAUACGAUCAUAUCGUAUGCAUGAUAUUUGAAAUAAAAAUAUUUUUUUAAUUAUUUUCAUAUUAAUGAGUUUCCUUCACGGAAGACGGAUUUCCGUGAAAGAUAAUAGAAUGGGAAUGAUGGAAAAGGAAAGAGAGCAGAGGAAAAAUGAGACGAAAGGAGAAUGGGUGUUGGCAUCAUACUCGGGAGCAGACGCAGCGCGGCGAGUGAACGCGUGAGACGGGAACCGGAAGUCUAUUUUCGUGUCCCGCACCGAUUUAGAAAGCUUUAUAGUUUGUACGAGCCUGAACGGCUACAGCCAACGCAUCGUUGAUGUGGCUCGUUGCUUUGAGUGCAUGCACAAAUUGAGAUUUGUGCGGCAUUCUCUCUUUUCUCUCACUAUGUAGAUCCAUCCCAUCCAACUAUUUACAAACAUCAGCUCAUUAAAGACAAAAUAGUAAAAUAAUAA